CCAUCCUCCUCCUAUUCUCCCAUCGCUUUCCUUCCUCUGAACACCUACACUGCUGUCUCCUCUCCCACCACGCUUCGCUGCUCCGAACGCAUUCGAUUCUCUCUCUCUCUCCCCGUCUCUGCCACCCACCAAAAUCCCGACCCUCUUCGCCAUCAUCAAUGUCUUUGCCGAAUCAGCCGACGGUCGAUCACCCAAGCUUCAAGCUUCUCAUUGUCGGCUAUAGAGGCACAGGCUUCGGUCUAGUUAUUUUAGUGGUCGGGAUCAGGAAAAUGUAACAUGCUCGUGGCUAUAUCCUCGAAGAUAGAGGAUUUUCCAUUUGAAGUGGCGAGCAGUAUGUUUUUACACAAUUUCUGGGGAUUUGUCCAAAACGAACGGUGUCAGACAAGAAGCGGUUUUGCGAUCUUCUUCAUUUGUCACGACACAGAAGCCAUGGGGUGUAUCUUUUCUUUCUAGUGUCGAGCAAUGGAUGGCAGGCUGAGCGCAGUCCGUUCCUUUGUACAGGUAAAACGACUUUUGCGAAGAGACAUCUUACUGGGGAGUUUGAAAAGAAAUAUGAGCGUAAGUGAUGUGGAAAUGCAUGUUAGUUCAUAGUGAUUGAUACUGCUCUGACUUCAAUGGGCAUAAACAUUGGGCUCAAACCAGGUUAAAGUUGGAGAAGCAGUAGGGUAAUUGCUCAUUACUGAUUCAUAGAUAGUAUUAUCAUAGAGAGAACUUUGUUCCACUUUAUUGU